UCGAUACGGAGCAUUAAGCGGUCGGGGGUCAAGGAUGAGGGACGCGUGACAGGGUUGGUUCCGCGUUGAAUUCUAUUCCUGUUGCAGACGCCAUUCGCCACGGGACUCGGUUAAGCUCGUCGAUGAUCCCGUUCGUCUUAAUCCGAAGCAUCGUGUCAGAGGGUUGAAGAGAACGUGACGGUGUAACCGAACGAGCGAGCGUGAAAAAUCCGCGAGGAAUCCGCCCGGACGAACGAAGGCUUAUCCGAUCGCGGAAGAACCAGCAGCAGGAGACAUCGAGAGGGGAUCGUGCCGGGCGAUGAUGAAUUACCGGAGGAACCAUCCAUCAUUGUCAUAAACAGCGCGAAGAUCGCCGUUUCGGGGAGCAACCCCGAGCUGCAGGCGGCCCCUUGCUAAGAUAAUUACCGGCACCUUCCAAUAAUAACCUCAGAACGCCGGUGCUGUCAGUCUGCAGUAUCAUCUAUCUCAAGAAUACGUUUGAAUAACAACCGAGAGAAAAGCAACGUAAUCUUCAGUUCUGCGAAAAAAGAUCAUCAAGGACACUAGGAUGAUUCUACGAUUCUAGACUCUACGAUGUUUUUACGAAGUUUUUCUACCAAUAGAACUUCAGCUGUUUCUCUCUUCGCAGUCAUUGGAAUCGCGCGAGAGCUUUCGCAAAAAUUAAUACAACGUUUUAAUAACAAAAGUUUGGUAAUUGUAAAAAUAAAAGUUGGAAUAGCGUUAAA